UACGUAGGGGGCUAGCGUUGUCCGGAAUUAUUGGGCGUAAAGGGCUCGUAGGCGGUCUGUUGCGUCAGGAGUGAAAGCCCGGGGCUUACCCCGGGUCUGCAUUCGAUACGGGCUAGCUAGAGUGUGGAGGGGAGAUCGGAAUUCCUGGUGUAGCGGUGAAAAUGCGCAGAUAUCAGGAGGAACACCGGUGGCGAAGGCGGAUCUCUGGGCCAUUACUGACGCUGAGGAGCGAAAGCGUGGGGAGCGAACAGG
rnacentral:rRNA from 1 species